rnacentral:rRNA from 1 species
UACGAAGGGGGCUAGCGUUGCUCGGAAUGACUGGGCGUAAAGGGCGCGUAGGCGGAUGGCACAGUCAGAUGUGAAAUUCCCGGGCUUAACCUGGGGGCUGCAUUUGAUACGUGUGAUCUAGAGUGAGGAAGAGGGUCGUGGAAUUCCCAGUGUAGAGGUGAAAUUCGGUAGAUAUUGGGAAGAACACCGGUGGCGAAGGCGGCGAGCCUGGUCCUUGACUGACGCGUGGA